GAUGAGCAAAAGCUACAAAAAUCGUUCAUCUUUAUUGUUUCCCUACACGGUACGCUUCUGAUGAAAGACAUUUUUCAACUCGCUAAGUAAUUGUUUAUUGUUUAGCUAAUUAAAAAACUCGAGAGCGUGGAAGGUUGCAAAACGCCAAUUCAGGCAUAAUAGAGGCUGCGGCGAUAUUAUUCGCAGCGCGCAGCGUGCAGCGUGCAGCGGGAAAGAGAGGAAGACGAGAAACGAAAAUACACAGAAUGAUGGCGUUAUUGGCAUCUUUGAGGAGAACAGGUGGCAUUGGCUUCAAGAGAGGUGGACUGUCUACUAGAGAGAUUCAGAGCUUCAGUUUACCAGAGCUUCCAUACGAAUACAGUGCAUUGGAACGGUUAUCAGCGGUGAGAUCAUGAGUCUGCACCAUCAAAAACACCACCAAGCAUAUGUUACUAACUAUAACAAGGCUUUGGAACAGCUUGAAGAGGCUUCUGCUAAUAAAGAUGCCGAAGCCAUUGUCUCUCUCCAAAGUGCCAUCAAAUUCAAUGGAGGAGACUUUGCUGUAGGAAAUCACUCCUUGCUAUUGUUAUUGGAAGUGGCUAAACUCAACAUAAAAUGAUCUGGGAGGUUAUUCAGAGUGCCAUUUUGCGUGAAGAUUAGCCUGUACCACUGUUAUUAGUUGCUUUCAAGUCCAAUUGACAUACAGUGGUUACAUGUGGAUUUUAAUAUAAUAUAAUUUCAUAUUAAUAGCAAAAUUGACCGGUAUUUGUUUGCUUUACUAUGAGACAUUUCCUUGACUUCUGUUGCUUUUUUAUCCCUUACAACUUAUGGAGUCCAUCUAAUAAAAUGUUGGUGAUGCAGUAUAAAAAUGUACGACCUGAUUAUUUGAAGAACAUUUGGAAGGUGAUUAAUUGGAAAUAUGCAGAGGGUGGCUAUAGAUAAUAUUUAUUGAUUUCGAUAUUAUCUUCAGCAUGCUUCACGACACAUAUAUAGGCAUUGCCUUGACCAGACAUGUCAGACAUGCCCGAUCAAGACAUGUAUUGAUCAAGGGUGGUGCCUCUUCGUGGAGCAAACCGAUAACUAUCAGUUAAUAUCAAAAGCUGAUUUAUAACAAAUGCCAAAUGGUUUGUGAUUAAAUGCGGUUUCCUUAUCAUUGUAUCCGAUAAUAUAUCGGUUAGAUUCUAAUGCAAUUUAAUCAUUAACCAAUCACCAAUCAAUUUAAUC